UGGUGAGCGUGUUUCUGCUUAUUAAUAGAAGUGAGCAAGUUCUAGAAGGGGCAGCGUUACGCGAGGCUUCUUGCUUUUACGGCUCGUGUGAUUGUUAUUAUUUGAAAGACGCUAUUUUAUGGCAACAGGUACAGUCAAGUGGUUCAACGAUUCUAAGGGCUUCGGCUUUAUCACUCCGGAUGACGGCGGUGAAGAUUUGUUUGCACACUUUUCCGCAAUCCAGAUGAACGGCUUCAAGACCCUCAAAGAAGGUCAAAAAGUCCAGUUCGAAGUCACGCAAGGCCCUAAAGGCAAGCAAGCUUCUAACAUCCAAGCUCCUUAAUUUCGCUUUGCGUCAUUAAGCGGCUUUUGUGAAAAACCUCACCGCGGUGGGGUUUUUUUAU
rnacentral:other from 1 species